rnacentral:rRNA from 1 species
GAUGAACGCUAGCGGGAGGCCUAACACAUGCAAGCCGAGCGGGAUUUGAGACUAGCUUGCUAGUCUUAAUGAGAGCGGCGUACGGGUGCGGAACACGUGUGCAACCUGCCUUUAUCUGGGAGAUAGCCUUUCGAAAGGAAGAUUAAUAUUCCAUAAUAUAAUGAUUGGCAUCAAUUAUUAUUGAAAGCUCCGGCGGAUAGAGAUGGGCACGCGCAAGAUUAGAUAGUUGGUGAGGUAACGGCUCACCAAGUCGAUGAUCUUUAGGGGGCCUGAGAGGGUGAUCCCCCACACUGGUACUGAGACACGGACCAGACUCCUACGGGAGGCAGCAGUGAGGAAUAUUGGACAAUGGGUGAAAGCCUGAUCCAGCCAUCCCGCGUGAAGGAUUAAGGACCUAUGGUUUGUAAACUUCUUUUCUACAGGGAUAAACCUACUCUCGUGAGAGUAGCUGAAGGUACUGUAGGAAUAAGCACCGGCUAACUCCGUGCCAGCAGCCGCUGUAACAC